AACAGCAACAACUAACCUCUUCCUACACUUUUUCAUAAGGAUGAUGAUGAAGUUACUAUAAGACAGAAAUAAAACCCACAAAAAUAUCAUUAUCCCACAAAUCUUUCUUCUAAGAAAAAGAAGAAAAAAGAAAGGGACAAGUUAUUGAAAUUGGAAAGCUCAGCCACCACACGCCCUGUUAGGCUUAGCUAAGAGAAAACCCAACACGCUAUCAACGCGUAUGCUUGCUGCCUGCCUGCCCACGUUUACCCAAGUCUUAAAGAUGCCAAAUUGCUAAGAACCUUUGCUUCCCUUUUCACAAAGUUUCCCCCUUUUCCCCUCCUUUCCAAUAUUCUCGUUCCCACCACCAAAAAAGAAAAUAAUAAAAUAAAACUCGUCCACUACUUUUGUCCCUAAUCUUAAUUCCAUUCUUAACAUAACAUAUGUUUUCCUUAUGUUGUUUCUUUAUAAUCUUUUGGCCUUCUUUUUUCACUACUUGUAGGCCUAGCUUCUAACUCCUCUUCAUCAACCAAGAAUUUCGAGGUAAUUGGAUGAGGAAGGGCAAGGGGAAUCAUGAUCAUGGCCAACAAAGAAGAAGAAAUAUGAAUUCAUGCAUGACAUGUUGUUGCUGUCCUUGUUUUGUAGUGUCCUCAAUAGCUAAAAGAGUGAAAAGAUGCUUGUUUGUGAGUUGUUACCCUGUUGUUCAAUGCUUUGGUUGGGAUGAACGUAGGCACCAACAUCACCACCAUAGACAUUUCCAUUGAUUGAGACCUUAAAGGUAAGGUUUAACCAAGAAAAUUAAUGCGAAUGAGCAGCAUCAUUCUUUCCACGACCAUAUCAAUUUGCUUCUUUGGUAUGGAUGUUAAUAUGUUAACACAUUUCCAGUAUGCAUUGAGAAUGAGGAAGAAAAGAUUUGGCUUGGGGCAGCAAUGAGCCAAGGAAGGUAACAGUAGUGAUAGUAUUAGUCUUAAGAAUCUUUCCUGGGAAAGGAUAUAUAUAUGCGCUAUAGUGUGCCUGGAAUUGACUUUUCAAGUCUUUAGAGAACAUUUCACACACUUCGCUGACAUUUUCUUUAUUUAAUUGCAGGAGAAUUAUUGAAUUAUAAGCUCAUAUCGUCUACUAUAUCUUGAAUUAGGCCAUCUAUGAUGAUCAUUAUAACAACAUUAAGCUGCAUCACUCUGUAAGUACACAUUCCAUAUAAAAAGAUGUGAGAUAUGUGCCAAAAAAUUAAAUAAAUUAAUUAAUUUCCAAAGAUUGCAUAAGUUGUCAUCUAAAUAGGUGAUGCAGAAGUCAGUAAGCUUUGAACCAAAAAUCAGAAUCAGUUUUCUUAAGCUAAAGCAAGGUCAUCUCAUAACAAAUGUAGUCAAGAGUGACACAGUUCAAAUUGUUGUAGCCUCCUCUAGUUUUAGUGUUGAUAAGGGGGUGUUGUUUCAAAAAUCUUGUGAAGAAUGUGUAUUUUCAGCUGCUGCAGUUCAUUAUAUCACACCUCAGUUUCUUCACAUCUGAUAGUUUGAGGGGUUUUAGCAUGAA